rnacentral:lncRNA from 1 species
GCUGGAAGGUUGCUGGCGCAGCUGCGGAGGGCGGCGUCACUGAGCCGCGCCGGCGGAGCCGGUUGCAGACCCGCUCCUCUCGCCUGCUUUCUCCGGGGCUCGCUUCUUCACCCAGGGUCCGUCGAGCCUUUUCCAUGUCCCGGGUAGACGCAGUCCUCCGCACCCUCCACGCCCAUGGCCACUAGCCUGAGGAGGCCGUCUUUCACCGGCUGUUCUUCCUCCCCUCCGGACGCGGACGACGAGGGCGUGCGCGGCACUUGCGAAGAUGCUACUCUGUGCAAGCGAUUUGCGGUGAGCAUUGGCUACUGGCAGGACCCUUGCAUCCCGCAUUUGGUGAGACUGUCUAAAGCGAGGAAGGCCCCCGAAAUUAACAGAGGCAAGUGACCCUCUCCCUCCCCAGCAUCUGCUCAUCAACUGAGAGGUCUGAGGUUUUAGGGAUUAGGGAUUCCUUCUUGGUUUUUAUUUUGUUGUUGUUGUUAAAUUGACUGCACCCUCAGCAUGUGGAAGGUCCUAGGCUAGGCAUCAGACCAUUACCACAGCAGUGACCUGAGCCACAGCAGUGAUAAUGCCAGAUCCUUAGUCUGCAGAACCACCAGGGAUCUCCUAGGGAUUCAUUCUGGAAAAGAGAGUGCUUUUGUGCACACUUUCCAACUUCCUCACCAGCACAGUGUCUUAGGAAAUUGUAUUUUUUGGCCAUACCCGGGACCCUCUGUCUUAUGAAAGGUAAUCUUUGUUCACCUGAUACAUGAUAAAUGUACACUCUUUUUAUUUUUUAUUCCUCUUGGGGUGAGGUUGAAAAUGAUUUUUAUAUGCUUAGAAGCCAUUGAUCUGUCUUUUACUCUGAACUGUCCACAUAAGGGAUUAUUGUUGUUGUUGCCACCUUGUUAGAAUGUUCAUAACACUCUCAGGUUCUGCAAGUAACAUCGUUCUUUUUCCUUUUCUAGGGCCACACCUGGCAUAUGGGCGUUCCUGGCUAGGGGUCAAAUCAGAGCUGCAGCUGCCAGUCUACACCACAGCCGCAGCAAUGCCAGAUCCGAGCCUUGUCUGCAGUGUACCCCACAGCUCUCAGCAGUGCCAGAUCCUUAGCCCACUGAGUGAGGCCAGGAAUCCAAUCUGCAUCCUCAUGGAUCCUAGUCAGGUUCUUAACCUGCUGAGCCACAACAGGAAGUCCUCGGCAAGUAAUUUCCAUCAGUGAAAUGGAAGGAUUUGAGACAGGAGUGUGACUUCAUUUCAGCCGGAUGGAGAAACUGUCCCAGGAGUGUAGUUCCUGGGUGUGCAGGGCAGCUUGGCCCUCAUGAUGGGUCCUGUAGGUCGGUGCUGUACGAAAUGCAGAGAAACUUCUAAAUGGUGACUCCUGAGAAGAAGGAUGUGGUAUUUACUUUGAGCUGCGGGUGAAGCCAGGCAUCAGUUAGGUUGGGCAAGGCCUGGCUACGAGGCCUGCAGCCUCCCCCCUGGGCUCUGGAGGCAGAUUGCCUCGUGAAUGGUCCAGAGGCAGGGACCCUCCAUGGCCAGUGGCUCAGUUCCCCCUUCCUUCUUUCUUCUCCUGGGUUUGCAUCUGGAGAUUGGACCUGCAGCCCAGCAGGAGAGGGCUUCCCAAAUGUCUGCCCUGAGGACAUAUUCUUGUCCCCAAAGGGAAUCCAUUGUGGAUGAGGUUCUGUAAAAUACAGUGAGAGAUGCUUUGCAGGGUUCCCGUUGUGGCUCAGUGGAUUAAGGACCUGCUGUAGACUCUAGGAGGAUGUGGGUUCAGUCCCUGGCCUCACUCAGUGGGUUAUGGCUCGGGUAUUGGCCAAAGCUGGAGUGUAGGUCCCACGUGUGUCAGGGUUGCAGUGUGGCGGUGGCUGUGGCAUAGGUUGGCAGCUUCAUCUCUGAUCUGAUCCCUAGCCUGGGAACUUCGAGAUGCAGCUGCAGAAAGAAAAAAGAAGAAACAAAGACUUG